rnacentral:rRNA from 1 species
AACCCGGUGAUCUAGCCAUGGGCAGGUUGAAGGUUGGGUAACACUAACUGGAGGACCGAACCGACUAAUGUUGAAAAAUUAGCGGAUGACUUGUGGCUGGGGGGGAAAGGCCAAUCAAACCGGGAGAUAGCUGGUUCUCCCCGAAAGCUAUUUAGGUAGCGCCUCGUGAACUCAUCUCCGGGGGUAGAGCACUGUUUCGGCAAGGGGGUCAUCCCGACUUACCAACCCGAUGCAAACUGCGAAUACCGGAGAAUGUUAUCACGGGAGACACACGGCGGGUGCUAACGUCCGUCGUGAAGAGGGAAACAACCCAGACCGCCAGCUAAGGUCCCAAAGUCAUGGUUAAGUGGGAAACGAUGUGGGAAGGCCCAGACAGCCAGGAUGUUGGCUUAGAAGCAGCCAUCAUUUAAAGAAAGCGUAAUAGCUCACUGGUCGAGUCGGCCUGCGCGGAAGAUGUAACGGGGCUAAACCAUGCACCGAAGCUGCGGCAGCGACGCUUAUGCGUUGUUGGGUAGGGGAGCGUUCUGUAAGCCUGUGAAGGUGUGCUGUGAGGCAUGCUGGAGGUAUCAGAAGUGCGAAUGCUGACAUAAGUAACGAUAAAGCGGGUGAAAAGCCCGCUCGCCGGAAGACCAAGGGUUCCUGUCCAACGUUAAUCGGGGCAGGGUGAGUCGACCCCUAAGGCGAGGCCGAAAGGCGUAGUCGAUGGGAAACAGGUUAAUAUUCCUGUACUUGGUGUUACUGCGAAGGGGGGACGGAGAAGGCUAUGUUGGCCGGGCGACGGUUGUCCCGGUUUAAGCGUGUAGGCUGGUUUUCCAGGCAAAUCCGGAAAAUCAAGGCUGAGGCGUGAUGACGAGGCACUACGGUGCUGAAGCAACAAAUGCCCUGCUUCCAGGAAAAGCCUCUAAGCAUCAGGUAACAUCAAAUCGUACCCCAAACCGACACAGGUGGUCAGGUAGAGAAUACCAAGGCGCUUGAGAGAACUCGGGUGAAGGAACUAGGCAAAAUGGUGCCGUAACUUCGGGAGAAGGCACGCUGAUAUGUAGGUGAAGUCCCUCGCGGAUGGAGCUGAAAUCAGUCGAAGAUACCAGCUGGCUGCAACUGUUUAUUAAAAACACAGCACUGUGCAAACACGAAAGUGGACGUAUACGGUGUGACGCCUGCCCGGUGCCGGAAGGUUAAUUGAUGGGGUCAGCGCAAGCGAAGCUCUUGAUCGAAGCCCCGGUAAACGGCGGCCGUAACUAUAACGGUCCUAAGGUAGCGAAAUUCCUUGUCGGGUAAGUUCCGACCUGCACGAAUGGCGUAAUGAUGGCCAGGCUGUCUCCACCCGAGACUCAGUGAAAUUGAACUCGCUGUGAAGAUGCAGUGUACCCGCGGCAAGACGGAAAGACCCCGUGAACCUUUACUAUAGCUUGACACUGAACAUUGAGCCUUGAUGUGUAGGAUAGGUGGGAGGCUUAGAAGUGUGGACGCCAGUCUGCAUGGAGCCGACCUUGAAAUACCACCCUUUAAUGUUUGAUGUUCUAACGUUGACCCGUAAUCCGGGUUGCGGACAGUGUCUGGUGGGUAGUUUGACUGGGGCGGUCUCCUCCUAAAGAGUAACGGAGGAGCACGAAGGUUGGCUAAUCCUGGUCGGACAUCAGGAGGUUAGUGCAAUGGCAUAAGCCAGCUUGACUGCGAGCGUGACGGCGCGAGCAGGUGCGAAAGCAGGUCAUAGUGAUCCGGUGGUUCUGAAUGGAAGGGCCAUCGCUCAACGGAUAAAAGGUACUCCGGGGAUAACAGGCUGAUACCGCCCAAGAGUUCAUAUCGACGGCGGUGUUUGGCACCUCGAUGUCGGCUCAUCACAUCCUGGGGCUGAAGUAGGUCCCAAGGGUAUGGCUGUUCGCCAUUUAAAGUGGUACGCGAGCUGGGUUUAGAACGUCGUGAGACAGUUCGGUCCCUAUCUGCCGUGGGCGCUGGAGAACUGAGGGGGGCUGCUCCUAGUACGAGAGGACCGGAGUGGACGCAUCACUGGUGUUCGGGUUGUCAUGCCAAUGGCACUGCCCGGUAGCUAAAUGCGGAAGAGAUAAGUGCUGAAAGCAUCUAAGCACGAAACUUGCCCCGAGAUGAGUUCUCCCUGACUCCUUGAGAGUCCUGAAGGAACGUUGAAGACGACGACGUUGAUAGGCCGGGUGUGUAAGCGCAGCGAUGCGUUGAGCUAACCGGUACUAAUGAACCGUGAGGCUUAACCU